AAUGAAGUGCCUGAAUAAAGGGUUAUCUUGAUAGGAUAAAUUAUGUAAAACUUUACCUUCAUUA